rnacentral:rRNA from 1 species
AUCUACAGCCAUACCACCCUGAAUGUAGCUGAUCUUGUCUGGUCUCGGAAGCUAAGCAAGGUUGGGCCUGCUUUGUACUUGGGUGGGAGAAAAUAUAAUACUGAUGAUC